rnacentral:lncRNA from 1 species
CGCCUAUAAAAAUAAACUACACUAUCAUUAUAGAUCAUGUAGUCAGAAACUGGCUUCAGCUCACUUUAAAUACAACCUGUGAUUAUAUAUUAUAGUGUUUGGUAGUACAUAUGAGUUUCUGAAGAGGUAUAGUUACUUACUACUUACUUAAGCCGUCUUCUUGUACCUUACGGUCUCGAGGUGUAGUUACACACUACAAAACAUUUUCCAUCAAGAUAAAAAUAUAUUUUACUAGUUUAUACCGGAAAUUAGAAAACCACGCACUAUUCUUAAUAUCAGUAUGGAACAAGCUUUGGUAGAAGUUAAUAAUGAGGAAUACGAACAACUGGAGAAUACUGAUUUGUGUGAAUAACUAACAGAUUCCGACGAACUUGAUAAUAAGAUUCUAGAAGAUCCAAAUUGCAUUGCAAAUGAAAUUCCCGGAACUAUAGAAACUUCUCGUGUGUCUUAUGAUGAAGCAGAAGAUGUAAGAACUUCUGAUGAAGAUUCGGGUGGACAAUCGAAGGAAUAUGCAAAUUUUUUAAAAUCCAAGUGAAUAAAAACCUAUUUUCAAUUUACUACUAAAACAGUAAAUAUAUCAUUUGAAGAGUGUAACGGUUCGUUACGCCAUUUGGAAUAAAGAGCUAGCCAUCAUGUGAAAUCGUAGCCCCUUUUGAACACCUAGGGAAGCCCUAUUACAGCCACUGUCAAGUCAUGUGGGAAUAUGUCACUUGGAGAACAAGCUACUUGAGCGUUCCAGUUCCAUUUUCGUUUUCCACCUGGACCUACAGAAGGCACGGUUUGGUACCAUCCUGAUGCUCAUUUUCUGGAAUAGAGCAUCAAACCUUUCUUCGAGAUUUUUGAUGAAUGGAUUUGUUUGGAAACAAUUAGUUUUUUAGUUUUGUGACUUGAGUAACUAUUAUGGUUAAUAUCACAGACAAUUAUUUGGAUUCACUAUGCUUAAUGAUUAUUUCUUUUAAGAUUUAGUUUCUAUUUAUUGUUUUUUUUAAUAUACGUAAGUUUAGUCGGUCUUGACGGUCCAGUUAGCUGGGGCUCAGUCGAUC